CGCCGCGCCGCCGCCUCGGCCCACAGGGGACCCGCCCGCCCGCGGCUGCUCCGGCCAACUGAAGCAUAUUCUUGGCUGCUUCCCAGGACUCCACAGAUCACUCAGAACCCAAGGAGACUGAAAAACCUCAUGGAAGAGGUAGAAUUUGAGCCAGACUUUAUACUGUUUUCUGUAAGCAGAGAGGAGGAGCAUGGGAUUCCAGUGAAGGAGGCUGACUUGAGUAAAGAACUAGAGGAUCCAGACAUAAUGGGAGCAUUUUUAGACAAGCCAAAGAUGGAAAAGCAUAAUGCCCAGGGGCAGGGUAAUGGGUUGCGAUAUGGGCUCAGCAGCAUGCAAGGUUGGCGCGUUGAAAUGGAGGAUGCACACACGGCUGUGAUCGGUUUGCCAAGUGGACUUGAAACGUGGUCAUUCUUUGCUGUGUAUGAUGGGCAUGCUGGUUCUCAGGUUGCCAAGUACUGCUGUGAGCAUUUGUUAGAUCACAUCACCAAUAACCAGGACUUUAAAGGGUCUGCAGGAGCACCUUCUGUGGAAAAUGUCAAGAAUGGGAUCAGAACAGGUUUUCUGGAGAUUGAUGAACACAUGCGAGUUAUGUCCGAGAAGAAGCACGGUGCAGAUAGGAGUGGGUCAACAGCGGUGGGGGUCUUAAUUUCACCGCAGCACACUUACUUCAUUAACUGUGGAGACUCAAGAGGUUUACUUUGUAGGAACAGGAAAGUUCACUUCUUCACACAAGAUCACAAACCAAGUAAUCCGCUGGAAAAAGAACGAAUUCAGAAUGCAGGUGGCUCUGUAAUGAUUCAGCGUGUGAAUGGCUCUCUGGCUGUAUCGAGGGCUCUUGGGGAUUUUGAUUACAAGUGUGUCCAUGGAAAAGGUCCUACAGAGCAGCUUGUCUCGCCAGAGCCGGAAGUCCAUGACAUUGAAAGAUCAGAAGAAGACGAUCAGUUCAUUAUCCUUGCAUGUGAUGGUAUCUGGGAUGUCAUGGGAAACGAAGAGCUCUGUGAUUUUGUAAGAUCCAGACUUGAAGUCACUGAUGACCUUGAGAAAGUUUGCAAUGAAGUAGUCGACACCUGUUUGUAUAAGGGAAGUCGAGACAACAUGAGUGUGAUUUUGAUCUGUUUUCCAAAUGCACCCAAAGUGUCACCAGAAGCGGUGAAGAAGGAGGCAGAGUUGGACAAGUACCUGGAAUGCAGAGUAGAAGAAAUCCUAAAGAAGCAGGGGGAAGGCGUCCCGGACUUAGUCCACGUGAUGCGCACAUUAGCCAGCGAGAACAUCCCCAGCCUCCCUCCAGGGGGCGAAUUGGCCAGCAAGCGGAAUGUAAUUGAAGCCGUUUACAAUAGACUGAAUCCUUACAAAAACGAUGACACUAGCUGCUCACUCCACCCAUUCUCUCACACACACCCCUGACUGAUUGCUCUGAUCUCUGCCUGCACCACAGUUCUAGUGAUUGAGGACAUGAUCAUGGACUCUACAUCAACUGAUGAUAUGUGGUAAAACUGCUCAUCUAGCCAUGGAGUUUACCUUCACCUCCAAAGGAGAGUACAGCUUGAAACUUUUAACAUCCAUCCUCAACUCUAAGGAAGGGGAUAUGACGUGGGUGAGAGAGAUUACACCAGAGAACUUCAGCAGUACAACAGCUAGCCCAGAACUGAUUUUUUUUUUGUAAAUUUGAGACUUAUGUAAACGUGAUUUCAACCAUAAUUCAUGUUGUAAAUCAGACUCCAGCAAUUUUUGUUGUAUGAUUUUGUUUUUUUUGUAAAGUGUAAUUGUCCGUGUACAAAAUGCUCAUAUUUAAUUAUGAACUGCUUUAAAUCACUAUCAAAGUUAUAAGAUACGUUUGGCUUGUUGUGUGAAGCAACAGAUACAUAACCCUUUCAAGUCAUGUUAUGUUUGGACUUGGGGUUGGGACAGGGAGAGCAGCAGCCGUGUCAACUAGACACUCAAACAUGCGCGUGAUUAUGGAGAAUAAUUACAAAAUUGAAUAUCCAAGGAGUUGCUGGAAACCAUCUUAAUGUUCUUGGUGGGAGGAUUGGCGCCACUGAUACAGCCAUUCCCUUCAUUUAACUGUCUUUCCGAAUGUUCUCUCCUUGUUGCCAUGAGUAUUGCAGGUAAUACAGUAUAUUCAUAAGGACAUCGAUCUUGAGGCUCCAACGCCUUGAUUCUUUGCACCUCUUUUACAAGUCCUUACAGUUAAUUACGGAUUGAUAAGCAGCAGCUUCUUACGUAGAGAAGGGGACUGCCAUAUUUUUGUUAUCAUGAUUGGCUGGGCCUGCUGCUGUCCUAGUAAGAUACUCUGAAUUCCAUUUUAUCAAUAAAGCUUGAUUUAACAAACAAGAAGUUUAAUCAUGUAUGUGUAAUUCCUCUUGUACCCCUGCCUUUUAAAAUACCCAGUGCCAUUGUAAAUGAAAUGUUCUCAUAGGGACAGUUGUUAGUCUCUUUUAAUUGGACGAUACUGCUAGUCAAGGCAUAGAUGGAGCUGUUUCUGUUCUGUUAGAAAGACUAGAAGAUUUAAGUCUCUGUUGUUCCUUAAUCUAUUUUUUUAACUAAGUUUCUUUUGGGCUGCUUGUUUUUCAUUAAGAUGUGCAUCAGCUUGACUUUGCCUACUGUUUAAUUAAAAUAAUUGUCAAAGUUCCACAGCCUAACACUCUAUGGUAGGUGUGUGUGAGUGUGAGUGUGUGAGUGUGUGUUUGCCUGUGAUUUUUAAUUGGCCCAUGUCUUUAGAAUCCAAGUGGUUACGAUGUAUUUGUGACUUGAAUUAUAGCAUGUUGAUAAUAUUUAGCUGUUGGCCUUUAAAAGUAACUUUCAAAACUUAAGGAAUUGUAGAAAUAAAAUAACCUAAUUUAUUUAGGCUUAAAUCCUGGUUAAGCAUAUGUGAAAGUGAGUUUUAAAAUCUGUCACAUUGAAAAGACUGCUGUUUGUGCCCUUCUGUGUUUUUGUCUCCUUAGGGUGAGUAUUGUAUUUAUCACCAUGUAAUUUACUCAUUCAGUAGGCAGAUUCCCCACUAGAAAGCUAAUAAAAUAGAAGAAUAAAAUAUAACUUUGAAUACAAAAUCAAAAAACUUUGUGUAAAAAAGCUAGUAUAAUCCAUUUUGUUAUAUAUUUUUUUCCCUAACUUGGAGAUAUACAUAUUUGUAUAUAUAGCCUUAAAACUAAUGUAAAGUUAGGGGAGUAGUGGGAAGAGUAAUGUGAAAUGUCUCUGAUUUAAGUAGUUUCAUACCAGCAAAAUCUUUUUCAUUAUCCCUCUCAUUUGUGAGGUGAUUAAAUGUAACUUAAUUGUGUUUAAUUUAUAUCUUAAUCCAGCAUGAAUGAAGAAAAACUGAAGUACUAUUUAUAUUUAGAAAUUCAUAACAGUUGGAAUUACAGAGGUAAUUCCUUACAUACAGUAAAUGCUUAAUGUCUAGCUCUGUGGUAGAGUGCAAAGUGUGAUAACGUUCUCAUUACGGCUUUGCAAGCAUCUAAGUGUGCAUUUCAUGGACACCAUUGAUUACCAGAUGUACUAGUACAAGAAGUCAGUUCCUUCAUUUUGAAAGUAAUCUGAAGUUUUUAGUCCCAGAAAUUUUACAGUCUUGAACUGGGCUAUGUACUCUUGGAAUGCAAAACUUAAGUCACAAGUGAAAUCUGACAGAAACCUGUAUUUCAUUCGAUUAACAGCAUAUGUAGGGGUUUUUCUUAUUUGAGAGUCUUUAAACCAAAAAAGCUAUUAAAGUAUCUCUCUGUUAAAAUGACUAGUACUAAAACUAAGCUUGGAAGUGAGAGAAGACCAUGUCUGAGUGCGAUCUAGAAGAUGAAGUCUUUUCCACGGGAGUCAGCACUGCCAUAGUAGAUGGGGAUUUUUCCAUUGUGAAAACACGGAGGGAGGGAAAUGCAUUCUAACAAGCAGACCACGCUCUGAUGCCUGGAGGCGAUGGUGAUGGUGGGAAACCAACCACACUGGUAAAACGCACUUUUGCACCUGUAUUGUGCACUUCAUUUUUGUACCACUUCAAUUCUUGACCCUACUUUUUUUAUGCUACUUAGCAUCUCAGGAAAAUGCCUCAAAAUUGUUUGAUGUGUUCUGUGUUCUUUACUUUGGAGGGAAACAGUUCUUGAAUGAUGAUAAUAGAGUAUUAAAAAUACACUGUCAUUUAAAUUUCUUAUUAGGGUGAACCCAAUUUGCUGCUUUUAAUGGGAUAUUCAGCUUUACAUAGUAGGCACUUGUUACCCUAACAUGAACAGUUUCACUGAUCUGUCUCUUACUAUUUUAAAAAGGUAAGCUCUCCUAAUUUCCAGUUUCUUAGAAUAUACUUUUAGAGAUAACAGAGAAGUUCUCAAUAUAAGAAUUAACUUUGACGAAUCAAGGUGGUACUUUUCUUACUCAGCUUUAGAACUGUCUCAGACAUAUUUUUAGUUAUAGUCAUUAACUUGCUUCUAGACUACUAUGCAGCUGCUCCAGCCAUGUAAUUUUUUAUACUAACUUCCUAACAUUAAGAAAUUUGGAUUACAGAAUAAAUCGAUUCUGUAAUUCCCAUAUUCUGAAUUACAGCAGUACUUUUGGUGAUCAUUCAUUUGAUCCUAGAUUAAUCCAGCUAAUAACACUGUUUUGCCACAAAAUGGUUUUUAGUUUUGUUUUGUUUUUGAGUGUUAAUUGCAAAGCACUGUUCUAGGCUAAGCACCUUGGGACUGUAAGGAGAUGACUAGAUUCUUGCUUUCAAGGAGUUUACAUUUGGUAAGAAUUUGCAAUCUAGUGCAUGUUAAUAUUGUAACUGGAUGGCUGAUUUAAAAAGAAAUUGCCCACCUGCUGGCUACCAGGAACUUUCCUGAACGGGGCGUUCCCUGCCUAAAGAGCGCAUUCUUUUUUCCUCUGUUCAUCUGGAAAUGCUUUUGUUCUGCUUUCUCUUCCCAAAGUUAAAAAUUACAUUCAAAAGAAAGUUUUGCUUAGUAUAAGAAUAAAAUUGAAUUGAUGAGGCAAGGCUUAAGUCCAUUGCGAGUGCUCGAUGAUGAAUGCGUGCUGUUCCUAUUCCUGCUGACAACAGAAAAGAAACAGUCAGAAAUAGGUGUAACGUAUUCUGCAGAAUUCUCCCGCCCUGGAAAUAGGUGGUGCUUGAGUUUAAAGCAUUAAAAAAUACUUGUGCAUUUGUGUGUGUGUGUGUGUGUGAAGCUAAAUUGGUAUUCAGUAAAGCUCUGUUCUUUAUAGCACACUGCCAGUGUUAAUAUCCAUAUCAGUCAGAUGAUGACUGCUUUAUAUCUGAGGUCAUUUGACUGCCCAUCUUUACUGGGCGGACUCAUCUGGGAAUUCUACUUGUGAUUUCUCAAAGAACUGAUGUAUGGAGUACUGGUCUUUCCAAUUUUGCUGAAUUUUGAAUUCCAUGAUAUGUACUUUAAACUUUGUUGAUUUUACAGUAUUAGGCUUUGGCUCUUAGGCAGGUAAAUAUUUCAGUACAUGACUGUUUCUCAUUUGAGGUUUUCUUCUGAAAGGAGCCUUAAAGAGUUUCGUUUAUAUUUGCUUUCCAAUACUACCAGUGACAUGACCAUUUUUUCAAUGGAAUGAUCUAGUCUUCUAGUUUGUUUUUCUUUUAGGCAUUAGGAAGUCUUUAUAGUUGAAGGUUUUAAAUGCCUGAUUUUACUUCAUUUCCUUUAAUAAUGUGCCAUAUGUUUUGGUUUAUUUUUAAAUUAUAUAUUACUUCAGAAUAUGCUUGAAAUACAUUAAGAAUACAUUUUCUAAAUGUGUAAUACUGUACUGUUUGGUCAAAAUGUCUGUUGGUGAAGCGUAGUGCUUAGUUAUUACUGAUAGAAUGCUCUCCAGAAAUAACGAGACAUGGGCCCUACUUCCUUGUCAAGUGACAUUUUCCACUUCGAUUCACCUCCACCCAAAAUUUUGGCCUUUACCAGUUCUUUGUGUUAACCUAGUGGCCUCCGUGCGGUGUCCUGUUUACGUCACUAGCAGGUAGGAGUGCUCAGUGGAAGGACUCAGCUCAGACAUGGGCUCAGUUGCCAUGAGAAGCUGAUUGUUUUCUUUAUCUGCAUGAGCUGUUGCCCUCACUUCCUCUACUUCCUUCUUGGCGUUCUCUUUUUCAAACUGAAAGACCCAAUUCCAUUUUCUUGAUCAAGAAAGCUUAGUGGGUUACCUCAUCAGUGUCGAUGAAUACUAGGUUAAACUGGGAUGGAAGUUAGCAAACUUGGAGGAGCAGUGUGGAGUGCCAGUGAGAGGGGGACUGCAGGGGUACUUUUUAAUUCUUUGUAAAAGCCACAGGAAGGGCUUUCGUGGGCCUGGCUAUAAGUUUUAGUGAACUGUUGUAUCACAUAAACCAGCAAGAAUCAACCUUUACUGCUCAUGCAGUUUGAUUUUUCCAGGAAGAUAAUGAUAAAAGUUACUGAUUCUUCAACAUAGAAACGACUGAAAUCAGGAAAAGCAUCAUUGCUCCAUCGUGAAUCCCAACCUUUCAGUUCUUUUCAUCGCUCCAAAACCCAGUUUUCUGCUGAUGGCUUUCUCACUGACUACAUGUUUAGGAAAAAUGUUUCGAGUUUUUCCUUUCCUUUUACAUAGUCUAGUAAAAGACUACUUAGUAAUAUUUACAUUUGUACGGUACUCUCUGAAGUAAGCUAGAUGUGUAUAAAAAAUUUUAUAGCUAUAGAAUUAGAAAUAGCCUAAUUCGGUACCUCGAAUGGCACAAAUUCAUUUUGGCAGUGGUUCUCAACCUUUUGUGGUCACAGGUCCUGUGAGCUCGAUAAAGCCUAGCGCCUCUCUGACCCAGGAGAACGCGGGUGAUGUGCCUGGCUCCCUGACGUUUAUAGGAUCGCCGUGGCUCCUCCUUCCCCUGGGGAACAGCCGGUCCUUAGCCGUGUAAGAUGUCCUCCUGUUUCCUGCAGAACCCAUGAACGUGCUUCAAGGGCAUGAAAAUAACUGGAGCCUAUUUUAAGGGAUUGUUUCACUUUUUAAAAGGCAAAGCGAGAGAGAAGCUUGGCUGGAACAUACUAGAAGAUCCUUCUUUAAAAAGAAUGUAUUGGGAGGAAAUGAGAAUGCUUAAAGGUGAAAACAUGUAGUAUUUGAACUAAUUUUGGAAGAUAAUUUUUUUUCUCUAAGGUUUGCCACUUUUAAAACUCAGAAAAUUGGUGAAAUGGAAAUUGAGUGUGUCUAGGGUGUUUCUGACUUCCACAGUAUAAAUACGUAUUAACUAAUAAUGCGGUUUAACUGUCAGGUCUCAGGUUUUAAGGUUUGAGCACCCCUAAAUGUUAAAAUUCAUUUCAGACUAUCAGGAAUUGACCGUUUACUUACUAUAGCAUGUUAAACUCGGCUCUACCGUGGACAGCCAAGUAUCCUAAAUACAAAGAGAGCAGUUGCUGACUUGUAUUUGUUACCAAAACUGAGUAUUCAGUUACAGCUUGUUUAAUUUCCAUUUGUGGGAGUUUGGAAACAGAAAUCCUCCUCUCAUCCGGUGAGCCCUGGAGGAACUCAGCAAGCUGUCUGUAGCGGAAUGCCUUGUUUGAAUGACAUGCCCCUCAGCCGAUUGGGCUUCACUCUUGAGAUGAUCUGUUUCACUUCAUUUGUGUAAAUGUUCCAGUGGAGAGACAUGUACGUGUUCAAGUCUAUAAAUGUAAGGCUAAUACAGCUGCAGAAUUUUUUUCCUAAAUGGUGUGUAACAGAAUUCUCCAGUGACUCUUCACUUUGCAGUUGAUGUUAUCCAAACUCAAAAGUCCUUAAAUGUGUAUUUUGUGUUAUGUACCCUUUCCCAGUCCAAAGAACAUAUGUGAAUUCAGUUCUCACUUUAAGAAUGUACUCUUAUUUUUUUUUUUUACUUUGUUUGCAAGUCCACUGAAGAAAUUGCAUUCAGCCUGUGAAUGGUUGCAGAUUGUAUGUGAGAUGAAAAAUAGAAAUAAUUUCUAGUUUGCAAAACUGGUGCCACUAAAUAAACAGGCAAUUGCAUAA